GCGCGGGUGGCGGAAUUGGUAGACGCGCUAGCUUGAGGUGCUAGUGACCAAUUAAACGGUCGUAGGGGUUCAAGUCCCCUUCCGCGCA
rnacentral:tRNA from 3 species